AGUGAACGCUGGCGGUAGGCCUAACACAUGCAAGUCGAACGGCAGCACAGUAAGAGCGUGCUCUUACGGGUGGCGAGUGGCGGACGGGUGAGGAAUACAUCGGAAUCUACUUUUUCGUGGGGGAUAACGUAGGGAAACUUACGCUAAUACCUCAUACGACCUACGGGUUGAAGCAGAGUAUCUUCGGACCUUGCCCGAACUGCUGAGCCGAUGUCGGAUUAGCUAGUUGGCGGGGUAAGGGCCAACCAAGGCGACGGUCCGUAGCUGGUCUGACAGGAUGGUCAGCAACACUGGAACUGAGACACGCUCCGACCUCCACGGGAAGGAGCCAGAGGGGAAUAUCGGACAUUGGGCGCAAGCCUGAUCCAGCCAUCCCGCGUAGGUGAGGAAGGCCUUCGGGUGUUAAAGCCCUUUUGUUGGGAAAGAAAAGCAGCAGGUUAAAACCCCGCUGUUCUGACGGUACCCAAAGAAUAAGCACCGGCUAACUUCGUG
rnacentral:rRNA from 1 species